GUCUGUGGCCCCACAGAGGUUGCCUAUCACUGACGCGUGGCCCACAUGGGAGUCUAGCGAAUCGGGUCCGUUAAUCUGCACCGGCCUCUCCCUCCCAUCCGGCGUUGGCGAAGCCGCGCGUCGACGAGAGGGGCGGAGUCGGCGACGAGCAGAUGGCCGGAGGCGGCCCCGCCGCGUCGGCGCUUUCAAGCCCCUGGAGGGCUCUGCUCCAGCGAGCGCUGGACGCCAACGCCCACCUCAGGCACUCCACCUACUUCCAACUCGCUACGGUGGGCGCCGCCGGCAGGCCGGCGAACCGCACCGUCGUGUUCAGGGGUUUUCAGGAACUCUGUGAUAAGAUUCAGAUUAACACGGACGCCCGAACCAACAAGAUUGGUGAGAUCAAGAGCUGCCCCUUUGGUGAGAUUUGUUGGUACUUCACAGAUAGCUGGGAGCAAUUCCGUAUCAGUGGCAGCAUAGAUGUGAUUGAUGCUUCUACUACAGACCCUGCCAAGCUCCAGCACAAGGAGAAAGCAUGGUUUUCAAGUUCAGUGAAGUCGAGAUCGCAGUACUUAGGACCACAGCCAGGCAUUCCGGUUCUAGAUGAUGAGCAUGUUAAGGACGUUCAUCUCGAUCCUUUAGCUGGCCCAGUAGAUGCCUUUUGCCUUCUGGUUCUUGAUCCGGAAAAGGUUGAUUAUUUGAAUCUGAAAAGCAAUCAAAGGUUGAUCUUUACAAGAAGACAAAAGGAUGAUGGAUCCAAUGAUUGGAUGGCAGUAAAAAAGAUAAAGACUGUAAGGUAUUUAGGAAGGAGUCAAAGCAGGCUGUGGCUAUUCAUGUUUGUCAAAGCCGUUGGUCUUGAGAUUUGUUUGAAGAUGAGCGUGGCUCGUGUUUGCCACUCGUGCUUGUUUUUGUGCAUAAGUUAUCUGUGUGAGCAGAAUGCAGAGACAGCAUGUGUUGGCUUUAAUAAACUACCAGCAUAUUCCAUGGGAAGUAUUAAAGCUGUGUCUACACUUGCAAUUGCAACGAUGUGCUGAGAACAAGCCGUUGGAUGGUUGGAGAACUUCAGGUCCGCUGCGCAAGUCAUGAAUGUGGUCUUGGAAAUCAAAGCUGAUUGCUGUUAUCCUGCAAAAACCGUCAGGCAGACACACCACAUGAUCUGCCCUUUUUAUCUAACAGUGCAGACUGCCGAGCAAUAAACACAUAUUGAUUACCGAAAGAACCCUUUGGCUGUAGUGGGCAGUGGGCUCCUGAUUAUGAACAGUUCCAGAUGAAAGCGUGCUAAUGGCAUUAUGUCGUUGCAAAAGUAAAUGGUAGUGAACUGUCGCAGCCAUGUUUUGUCUGAGGCCCCACCCAGUUGCAAAGCGUAAGUGUUGAUGCCAAAUCUAGAACUUGUCACGGGGGACCGAAUGACUAUUGGUUCAUCUUGACUACUACCGCGUCUCAAUCAUCUGGCACUCGAGAGGAAUAGAUAAUCAUGGUCACCUUUGAAGGCCAGUCAAAAUGCUACUCCAUUGCGGCUGAUUGGAGAGGUCAAAGGUGGCUGUUAAAUUGGAUAUUCGGCUUUUGCAUCGAGGACUUUUGGCAGCCUUUUCUUCCUCCAUCUCUCUACUCCAUCUGGUAUUGUGGCGGUGCCAAACAUAAGUCAUGGCUCAUCACUUUUGCAAAGCAUGCAAGGGACAUGUUUGGGCAUAAAGCAGAUGUUUGAGGUCAACAGCAAGUCUGAGCUGCAAGUUGUUAAUGGUGGGUUCGUUAAAAAACGACUGUGAAGGCCUUCUCUGGUUUCGUCUUUGGACAGUGGUCCCUUUUUGCCUAUUGGGCCUUUACUGGUCUAAAGGCCUGGAAGAUGUGGGCCAUGCACAGCUUGGCAUACUCACCUAGUGGAUAACUCUCGGUCUCCACUCUGCAGAAGGUGUUCUGAAGGCCUGGAAGAUGUGGGCCAUGCACAGCUUGGCAUACUCACCUAGUGGGUAACACUCGUUCUCCACUCUGCAGAAGGCACUGGUUUAUCUAGGGGGAUUAUCCGGACACUUGCUAGAUUUGAGAAAUAGGGUGUGGUUAUCAUGCACAAACACAACAAGAGGAAGGAAGAAUUGCAGAUAGCGGCGGCACGCUCUCCAUCCGUCCCGGUGUCCCACAAAGCCAAGCAGCGAGUUCCUGGAGACACGGGCACCCAUCCAAGGGCCAGGAUCCAAAUGCCUGGCAAUGAUUGGGAUGGGCGGGGGUCAUGGUCAUCGCCCCGCCCGUGAGACCAGAAAGAAACUCAUCAGAAUGGGAUGGAAGGGAAGGAUCGCCCACUCAGUCAUGGUACCCGCUCUUCCUUUUAGUCGGGGCCUGUGCUGUGUCCUCCUGGUCGAUGCAUCCAACGGAACAAGACAAUUCGUCCACUCAACUCGUGCGUGCUGGUACUUGCAUUGCAUGCUGCCAGUGCGCCGUGCAUGUUUGGUGACACCAGCGGAUAAUAAACUAGAGCCUCGCCCGGCGACGGAGACGGUGGACGGAGCAGAGCCGCAGAGCACGCGUAUCUCACCGACACCAGUGCAUAUGAUGGGCAUGCCAUGCUGGUGACAUACUGCUGUGGUGGUGCAGGAGGACAAAAGGCAAGCGCACGUCGUAGCUAGCGUACUGUUCCUUCCGCCACCGGUCGACACCAAAGUACGCAGCACAGGCCAUGUAAUAAUGGUACAGUACAGCUUCAAUGUUCAGAGAGAGUCCAGACUUGAGACACACACAAACACAGAACUACUACUGCACUACGUUGGCUACUGCAUGCUAGUGCCUGUUAUAUAUGGGACAAGGAGUA